GACGAACGCUGGCGGCGUGCUUAACACAUGCCAGUCGAACGGAAAGGCCCUGCUUUUGUGGGGUGCUCGAGUGGCGAACGGGUGAGUAACACGUGAGUAACCUGCCCUUGACUUUGGGAUAACUUCAGGAAACUGGGGCUAAUACCGGAUAGGAGCUCCUGCUGCAUGGUGGGGGUUGGAAAGUUUCGGCGGUUGGGGAUGGACUCGCGGCUUAUCAGCUUGUUGGUGGGGUAGUGGCUUACCAAGGCUUUGACGGGUAGCCGGCCUGAGAGGGUGACCGGCCACAUUGGGACUGAGAUGCGGCCCAGACUCCUACGGGAGGCAGCAGUGGGGAAUAUUGCACAAUGGGCGGAAGCCUGAUGCAGCAACGCCGCGUGCGGGAUGACGGCCUUCGGGUUGUAAACCGCUUUCGCCUGUGACGAAGCGUGAGUGACGGUAAUGGGUAAAGAAGCACCGGCUAACUACGUG
rnacentral:rRNA from 1 species